UUGUAUAUGUGUACGCGGGAACACGUGCGUGACUUGGUGUGAUGUUAAAAGCAUUUUAAUUUGUAACUGUGUUUAAUUAUAGCACAUAUGAUUUGAUGACAGGAACCAUCUUCAUGGAUGGUAAUACUGAGAUAACCUCCAUAGACAACCUGUAAUGCUUUAAAGAGAGAGAGAGAGAGAGAGCAGUUUAGACAGUCUUUGAGAACAAUGAAGUGUUAGUUGGUUUUUUGCAACAAAAUUAUGACUGUGGCAGACUGACCCAGGGACAGGAGUUUCCGGAUGAUUUUGAGUUUGUUUUCUUUCUCUGCGCAUACAAAGAUAUUUGUGGACAAACCCGUGUUCUCUGGGAGCUCUCCAAGCAGAUUCAGUGGAUUGGUAUCUGCAAGUCUCAUUGAGGACAGAAGACCUCAGAAGAUCACCCAGGAGCUGCUCACAUUUAUGAUGAAAACGCAUUUUCGUAAGUGAUCAGACUCCUUCAGCUCUAUGUGAUCCUCCCAGUAACAACGUCUGAGGAAGCAUUCGCUUGCUUAGGAAGGAUCAAAGCCUAUCUGAGGAUGUGGCCCAGGUUCAAGGAGGACUGCUGCCUUCCUUGGCAAAUGUUUUGAUUACGAAGGACCUGGUGCAACAGCUACAUGAUACAGGGGGCCUUUAUACAUGUGUGACAGAAAGGCUUGCUGCACUGGGAGACCACCAUGUCGAUUUAGUGUUUCAGUAAGCAGAAACAUAAUUCUGUAUUCAGAGAGCCAAUUGGCUGGGCUUGAAGCUUAUUGAGAACAGCGUUCCUAGCAACAGCUUGUGUUUGCCUUCCAACAGCUCUGUAGGAAGCUGUACCAAAAGGGAAAGACGACUGUGUUCAGUUCAGCAGUAUUGUACAUAUGUAUCCAAGGCCGUCUGCAGUUGGGGGAUGAGGCCGGUGCUUGUAUUCUAGAUUUGUUUUUUGACAAAACAAGAAAAGAUAGAGAACAUAUGUUACAUUACCCAUGUUUAUGGGCAUUACACAUUUAUGGGAGUAAUAGCCUUUUUCACAAAACUCCUUAUUCCUUACUGUUUUGAUAAAAUAAACAAAGUUUUACAAAAAUAUGAUCCCUUGGCAACUCUUUACUGUAACUACAAUCAUACACACUUUACUUGGACCAUAAACUAUACGGGUCAAUUGCAGCGCACCAGUGAUUCAGUUCUCAUCAAGUGGACUAAAAUGCAGACUGGAAAACCAUGCAUAUCCAUACUGACUUAAUCCUGAUUACAGCGCAUCAAACAGAUGAUCCUGGUAAGUGGUUUAACUGAUCGGAACAAGUGGAACAAGUUAGACAAAUAAUAAGGACUAACAACCAACAGCUAUGGCCAAAAGGAUCGCAUCACCCUAUAGAAUUAACUAAUAUUGCUUCAU